UACGUAGGGGGCAAGCGUUGUCCGGAUUUACUGGGCGUAAAGAGCGUGUAGGCGGCCAUGCAGGUCCGUUGUGAAAACUGGAGGCUUAACCUCCAGACGUCGACGGAAACCGCGUGGCUAGAGUCCGGAAGAGGAGAGUGGAAUUCCUGGUGUAGCGGUGAAAUGCGCAGAUAUCAGGAAGAACACCGAUGGCGAAGGCAGCUCUCUGGGACGGUACUGACGCUGAGACGCGAAAGCGUGGGGAGCGAACAGG
rnacentral:rRNA from 1 species